AACGAUAUCAUUUACAUAUUAUAUAAAUUCGAUGUAUUCAAAUAUCAAAUACAUUCAUACCUCUGCCUUGGCAAAGAAUAAUUUCCGAGUGAUGCGAUUGCAAUUACAGGAAUGCGUGAACAGUAAAGGAAUACUGUUCACUAUUUAUAGGCACAGGACACAGCCUGUGAGGAAUUACAACCAUGCCCCUCAUAAAAGUUUACAACAUUGACUCAAGCCCUUAUGGACUAAAAGGUCAUUCUAUCUUUAAGUCGGUUCGACCCUUCAUCUUCGGAUAUGUUGUAAUACCGAAGCUUCAUGAAUGGUGCCUUCGGCGUCACGUAUGAGCAGCUUCAGCCGAAGCUGUCUCCUUCUGCAGGACCUUCGGCGACGAAGCAUGGUCCCAAUAGGCACCUUCAUCAGCCAAACAAAGUACAUUCAAGACAUACUUAAGAAGUUUGGAAUGAAGGAUGACAAACCCAUCAAGACACCCAUGGGAACCAAUGGGCAUCUCGACCUCAACACGAGAGUUAAAUCCGUAGAUCAAAAGGUAUACCGGUCAAUGAUAGGAUCUUUACUCUACUUAUGUGCAUCUCGACCGAAUAUUAUGCUUUCUGCAUGCAUGUGUGCAAGAUUUUAGGCAAAUCCUAAGGAAGUUCACCUUAGGGCCAUGAAAAGAAUCAUGAGGUAUUUAGUUUACACUCCUAAGUUUGGGCUUUGGUACCCCAAGGGAUCUACCUUUGAUCUAAUUGGGUAUUCCGAUGCCGAUUGGGCAGGGUGUAAAAUUGAAAUAAAGAGCACAUCAGGGACUUGUCAGUUUUUGGGAAGAUCCCUAGUGUCAUGGGCUUCAAAGAAACAAAAUUUAGUAGCUCUUUCCACCGCCGAAGCCGAGUACAUUGCCACAGGUCAUUGUUGUGCGCAAUUACUUUGGAUGAGGCAAACCCUCAGGGACUAUGGCUACAAAUUGAGCAAAGUCCCUCUCCUAUGUGAUAAUGAGAGUGCAAUCCGCAUGGCGGAUAAUCCCGUUGAAUACAGCCGCACUAAGCACAUAGACAUCUGGUAUCACUUUCUGAGAGAUCACCAACAAAAAGGGGAUAUCGAAAUUGCUUAUGUUAACACCCACAACCAAUUAGACUAUAUCUUUACCAAGCCACUAGAUGAGAAAACCUUUAGCAAACUUAGGAAUGAGCUAAAUAUACUUGAUUCUCAGAAUUUUGAUUGAAACAUUGCGCACAUAGCUCUUUUAUAUACCUUUGAUCAUAUCUCUUUUAUUUGGUACAAUUGCAUAUUUCUUAUUCUUCUUGUGCCAAGACUAAAAAUAAUGUGUUAUCAAGUGUAUUUCUAUACUUAGUCUUAGAUUGAAAGGGAAUUGGAGGAUAUGGCAAAGACAAGGCUUCCACUCCAAACUCUAAUGAUAUCAUUUAACCUUUGCCGCUACUCCACAAACUCUCAAUGGUAUGAUAUUCACUCAUAUUUGUUUCACCAUUUGGGAGAAGGUAUUAGGCCCCAAAGGGGGAGAAAGCUGCAACAGGGCUCUCAAGUUCUCCGUUUUUGGCGCUUAAUGCCAAAGGGGGAGAAAAUAUUAAGCCCAAAGCAAAAGGACCGCAAGCCCAAAGCAAAAGGACCGCACCACCAUUUCAAUUUUUUCGAAAUAAAUUUCAAUUGGUGUAUUUUUAAUUGGUAUCUAGUUUUCAAUGUGAAAAUAAGAUUUCAAAUUGGUAUCUAUUUCAAAAACCCUCUUGAAAGCUAAUGGGAGAAUUUCUUCAGGGGGAGCAUUUAUGUAGUCAAAGGAAAAAACAUUUGAAAGACGGGGAGGAAUUUCAAAUCCUAAAAAUGCUUCUUGCAAUCAUAUUCCUAUACCUUUGACUAUUUGCAAAGUUUUUGAAAAGAUUUCUAAAAUAUUUGCAAAAACAAAACUAGUGGUGCAAAUGUGGUCCGAAAUAUUAAAUAAAAGAAAGCCAAUCCAUUCACUCUUAGUGACACUUUAAAUUGGUUCAAUUCUAAGUAACCUAUCACAAGUCAUCUCAAUUGCAAACUAGUUACAUUUCUGCCUUUACAUUUGCUUUGGUUUGUGUUGGCAUCAAUCACCAAAAAGGGGGAGAUCGAAAGGGAAAUUGGGUUAACCAUUCCCUAUAAUUAAUUUUGGUGGUUGACGACCAACGCAAACAUGUGGACUAAGUAGUUUGUCUAGAAUUCAUGUAUUAAAGGUGCAUAAGGUUCAACACAAACCAAGAAAGAAAUCAGUUAGAGACACAAUUUUAUUGGAGCAAAAAGAACUUGAGUGUGCUAAAAAAUGGCGCACCGGACUGUCCGGUGCACCAGGCCGUACAACUCCAAACCAUCCACUCUCGGGAAUUCCAGGGCGCGCUCCUCUAUAAUUCACCGGACUGUCCGGCGUGUCAGCGGAGCAACGACUCUCUGCGCCAACGACCGACUCUAUCAAGUGAACAGUGCAGCAUAGUGCCGCACAGAAGUCAGAGCAACAAAGUCAGAGGGGCACCGGACUGUCCGGUGCAGCAAGACGACAAAGGCUCCAAUGGUCGACCAGCUCCGAACCCUAACAGUUGCGCUGACGUGGUGCGCACCGGACAAUGCACAAUGGCUGUCCGGUGCGCCCAUCGCUAGCAGCCUUCACCAACGGCUAUGGAAGUGGUUGGGGGCUAUAAAUACCCCCAACCACCUCAUUCAUAUCCAUCCAAGCAUUCCAAACAUCUCAUUUAAUACAAGAGCAAAAGGCUCCACUCCAAGACACAUCAAAUAGAUCGAAUCCUCUCUAAGCCUCCAAAAUCAACUCAAUUCCAUUAGGGACUUGAGAGAGGGUGUUUUUGUGUUCUUUGUUGCUCUUGUUGCUUGGCUUGGCCUUUUUCUUUUCCCAUUCUUAUUCUCAAGUGCUUUGUAAGCGAAGCAAGAGACACCAAGUGUGUGGUGGUCCUUGCGGGGUCUUAGUGACCCGUGAGAUUAAGGAAGAAGGCCCACUUAGUCUAAGUGACCAUUUGAGAGAGGGAAAGGGUUGAAAUAGACCUGGUCUUUGUGACCUCCUCAACGGGGACUAGGUUCUUUGGAACCGAACCUCGGUUAAACAAAUCACUGUGUUCACUCGCCUUGAUUCUUGUUUGAUUUGUUUCCUCCUCUUCGGACUUGAAUUUAAUUCUAACGCUAACCCCCAAACUUAGUGUGUGUUUAAAGUUAUAAAUUUCAGGUUUUGCCUAUUCACCCCCCUCUAGGCGACUUUCAGUAUGCUAUCCUUUAGCAUAGAACAUUCAACCCUUAGGGGCCUGUGUUGAAUGCCAAGUGUUCCUCAACAAGGUCUCGAGUCCCAACAUGUAUGCAGACAAUAUUGAAGGUAGCCAUAACAGUCUGAGCUUUGAAAUCCAUAUAGCAAGUUGGCCUCUUAAGCCUGAAGGCAGGCUUAAUUAAACUCUUGAUAUCGUCCCUUUCUUUUAAGUUGUUCUUCACAUAGGACCAUUCCUUCGUGCAUAGCUUCAACCAGUUGCUACGACAGGCGAGGGAUGGAAAUUGUGCUUCUUUUCGAUAAGCAAAAUUAUAACAGCUGAAGUUAUUAUGAAGUCGCUCCUCACAAACUGCCUUCGUUUGAUAGUGUAACUCAUGAAUUUGACAAAAGCACUCCAUGCUUGGAUCUAUGUCUUGUCUUCGUACAUCCCAAGUGAAAAGCAUCAUCCUCAUGAUCGCAUCAGGGGUGAGCUGAUGCAAAUAAAUGUCAAACCGUUUCAGCACUCCUACCACCAUCUUGUAUAGUGGAAACCGAAGCCUAGCACUCAAAAAGCUUCGGAAUAUCACCACUUCAUCUUCCUUCAACAUCGUUGUAGUGUCCUCGCCCACAAGGCAGACCAGAUCAACGUCACUUAUGCAGUGCCUAUUCUUCCACACUUCAAUAUGCCCACUCUUGAUCGUUGAUUUCCUGAAGAUAACAUGGCUCUACUUCAUUGGACGAAUAUCUUCACUGUCAUCUUCAAUGUCCAAGUCCUUAUUGUCAUCUUUGGAUAUAUCCAUCUGUCGCACCAGCCAUACCCUCAACAACUUCAGUCAAAAGGCUGCUUUCUCCAUGCAUCAUCUCCUCAGCAGCACUCAAAGCUUUCACUAGGGCGAGGUCUGAAGCCACUUUCUCUCCCGCCAUCUCUACCAAAAUUUGAGGGUCACUCACAAGUUAGAAGCGCGACUAAAGGAAGAUGGUUCGAAGCAAGUUUUAGAUGCGGAGAAAAACUAGCAGCGAAGCAUAAAAGCGGUGAAUGUCAUGCCAAGCUGUGUGAGCCUUGCCUUCCUUUUAUACAAAAAGUUUCCUUACUCGACAACUCGCCCACAUUCACUCACUGCACGUUGGUCCCCACCAACCAAGAGUUCAAAGAUUGCCUUUCAUAACGAGCUCUAGGAAGCUGUUUUUGGACCUUCAGUGCAAGGCCUCCCAAUUACGUUUCGCGGCCUGAGGUCAUUAUAAAAAACAAACUAAUUCCACAAGGGGCUACUGUUGGUUGGCCUUUAUUACCGAAGGUCCUCAAAACUCUAUGUUAUCAAACUAAAACAUGUUUCAAAUACCUUACAAAAGGAUAACAAAGCUAACCUUCAUUGAAAGCAGCAUGUGAAAUAGAAUAGAAGCUAUGAAGCUUCAGCUUUGUAGGACUGUCGCAAAGACAUGAACCUAAGGAGGCAGCUUUGGUCGGCUUUGGUUCCACGGCCAUCAAUGCACGAAGAAAAAGUGGAGGAUAAGAAUCGGGAAUCUUGUUCAGCACCGAAUGGAAAGGAAAAAAUACGACACCACCCUUACAAGAUUUGUAGCUCAUAUGUAUAAGAUUUGUGGGUAUCUUUGUAAUUUCAUACGAAGCUGUACCUCGCCACUAUAAAUAGAGGUACAGUGCCAUGCAUAACCUCAUCUCUUUUCGGACACUAAGAGAACUGGAUCUCUAUGCCUUCGAAGCUUCCUUCUUCUAUCUUUGUGUUCUCCUUUGUAAGGUAAAAUGUAUUCUUUUAAUUAUUUAUGACAUGAAGAAAGGAAGAAUAAAAUGUGUAAAAAUGAAUUAUCCUGUCACGCCUUUAAUAAUGUCUCUCUAUCGUUUAUCCUUCCGUCCUUCGUCCUUUAGUUAAUUUCCUCAUAGAAGAUUAAUUGAAGGGUGAAAGGAAGAUUAUUUCAUUUGUGUUGCCUCAUUUUUGGUUUCACUCAGAAAUCAAAAGCGAGUGACCAACAUAUAGCUUCAAAUCUAUAAUAUUAAAGGUGGAACUAACCCUAAACUUCAGUGAAAACUCAAGUUUAUAUGUAUUAUCAUUUAUUCCUGUAAGGAAAAUGGACCCCAGGCCAUUUGGCUAAGUGAUUUUGGUGUUUUAUGAUCAACAUAACCUUGUGGACUAAUGUUUCCCAAGUGUUUGUGCUUUGUAGUUCACAUGAUGUGAUGUGGAUUGGACUGAGGCUUUGAGGAUGCAACACCUCAAAGAAUACAUUAUAAGACCCAUAGAAUACAUUACAAGGUCAUAUUUAAGACACUUUAUACAUGCUAAGAGUCCAACACAUCAAGAAAUAGAAGUGGGAUGCAAAGCCACAAAACAAAAGUGAAGUUCACAAAUUUGAGAAGAAGGGCUGACUGAAUUGGAAGUGUUUUAUAAUAUCAAAUCUAAUCAAACUGACAUGACUUCAACUCUUAGAUGUAGAGAAUUUUAUAAGCUUUCUAAAAAGUCGAAGAUCAUCAAAAUCGGAGUUCAGAGCUAAAAGUUAUACCCACAAUACAAAGUUAGAAGUGCCGAAAAACUGUAGCAGCACAGAAGCUGUUUCAUCGGACUGUUCGGUACGCCAAAUUUACUCAAAAUGAUGUCUUCAACUAUGGGACAUAUAGGAUUUCAUAAGAUUUCCAAAAAGUACAAGAUCAUCAAAAUCGGAGUUCGGAGCUAAAAGUUAUGGCCAAAAUACGACAAGCAAUCCUGUCCUACGUGGGCUAUAGGGUGCACACCAGACUGUCCGGUGCGCCAUCUUCGAAAGCUCCAACGACUACCUUUAACGGCUAGUACACGUGGCAUGUCCGGUGCACCUGUCCGGUACGCCACAGAAAGCUGCAGAACUACUUUCCAACUACUAUAUUCGAGUUGGGGCCUAUAUAUACUUCACCCAACCGACCAUUUAGUGGGAGCUCAAGCAACAUAGCAACACAUGCUAUAGACAUUUCCAAGUGCUCAAACACUCAAGUGCUUAAUAGAAUCACUCUAUGUUUUGCGUAGGUGCUUUGCGAAGUGCUUAGGUUAGUUAGAUCGCUUAUGCGCUUUCUCUAAGUGAAUCCUAGUUAGUUGAGUGAGUUUAGAAAAGCCCACAUAACCCCUCGGCUUUUGAGUGUAAUAUUGUACCGAGUGGAGUGAGAGUCUUGAUAGACCGUGACAACUGAGUUUGUGUCAUGGCCUCCACCGUGUACCGGAGGGAACGAGGCCCGCGGUGUUUUGGCCGGAAGCUCGAUAGUGGAGACGGUGGGAGCGUCCGAGAGGAGUCGGAAGCGGGGCACCACUUGCGCGUGUAGAAGAUCCGUGGUUCUCUACGAAGUUACUCGUCUGUGGUGCUUGGUCCUCGCGUGUGCUACCCUUUGCGUAGGGGUACAAACGAGGAUUAGUCGAGACCUUGCGUGGUUCUGGAUACCUCGGUAAAAAUACCGGCGUCGUCCAUGAGAGUUUGCUUUCUCUACUAGCUCUUUAUCUUCCGCAUUUACUCUCUCUACUUAAGUUGCAAUCUUUACUAGUGUUAGUGUAAAUUAUAUAGGAUUGAAACUUAGGUUGCAUAACUCCUUUUGCAGUAGAGAUAGCAAAACAUAGACAAAACCUAGUUUGCACAUUCUAGUUAACUUAUUUGCAUAUGUUUUGUUCUAGGGAUUACUUUGUGGUCUAGUUUAGAAAGAAGUUUUAGAAGUCCUAACUCACCCCCUCUUAGGUGUCACCGUUUCCUAUAAUUCGUCAAUUAUGUAAAAGGACCAACAACUCUUAGCAACAAUUUAGACCUAAUAAGCUCUAAAUACUAUAUUUUUUCAGGUGCAACCAAACCAAAUCACACAGUUCAAGUUUAACUUCCUUUUCUACCAUCACUAUCUGGAAUUCUAUACUUUUCAUUUAUUUUUUAAAUAUUUUCCUUAGUAGUUUGAUGCAAUUUAAAAAUAAACUCGGCAUGGUCUUUAGCAUCACUAUGUGUUCACUUAGUGGUACGUGAAGGCAAAGGAACAAUAGGAACAUGAGGGUUAAAUCCAUACACUACUUGGAAUGGACUUACCUUUCAAUAUCAUGGGAUAAAUCUUUAGUCUCAUGUGUUUGCACAUCUCUUGCUCAACCUUUGCUUGUUGCAUUAUUUGUAUAGAAUGUAUGUUUAUCUUGAAGAGACUCUUAAGGAUUGACUCUUGAAUGCAAAACUCUUUGAUGUGACU
rnacentral:lncRNA from 1 species